ACUCAAAGGAAUAGACGGGGGCCCGCACAAGCGGCGGAGCAUGUGGAUUAAUUCGAUGCAACGCGAAGAACCUUACCUGGGUUUGACAUGCACCAGACGCUGCCAGAGAUGGUGGUUCCUUUGUGGUUGGUGUGCAGGUGGUGCAUGGCUGUCGUCAGCUCGUGUCGUGAGAUGUUGGGUUAAGUCCCGCAACGAGCGCAACCCUUGUUCCAUGUUGCCAGCACGUGGUGGUGGGGACUCAUGGGAGACUGCCGGGGUCAACUCGGAGGAAGGUGGGGAUGACGUCAAGUCAUCAUGCCCCUUAUGUCCAGGGCUUCACACAUGCUACAAUGGCCUUCACAGAGGGUUGCGAGACCGUGAGGUGGAGCGAAUCCCUUAAAGUGGGUCUCAGUUCGGAUCGGGGUCUGCAACUCGACCCCGUGAAGUCGGAGUCGCUAGUAAUCGCAGAUCAGCAAUGCUGCGGUGAAUACGUUCCCGGGCCUUGCACACACCGCCCGU
rnacentral:rRNA from 1 species